rnacentral:pre_miRNA from 1 species
AGAGGGAUAGCUGGGUCAAAUGGUGGUUCCAUUCCCAGAUUUCCAAGGAAUCUCCAUACUGCUUUCCAUAUUGGUUGCACCAAUUUGUAGUCCUACCGGCAAU